AAGGUACCAGACUUUGUGGACAACUGUCAAGUCGCUUGGUGGAGAAGCUCCGCUGUGUACGAUGAGCGAUGCGGUCACGAAACGUACCAGAAAUCGUGCUCGUACUGCUUGUUCGGAAUAUCCGCACCUCUGUCACCGGGAGGGUGAAGUGGUAGCGGGUCUGUAGAGAUACCUGUGGCAGUUGUUGCGGGCAUUUCAACCUGUGCGAAGCACAUUCCAAGACCUUCGCUGGUCGACUGUUUACACGAGAAACGUACACCUACAUCCGAAGCCUCCGAUGAGGCUUCGAAGGCCACGCACAACCUAUCUAAUCGCUUCACAGGUUUUGUGCGUCAACACGAGCAGAUAGAGCAUUCCUCGCGGGCGGACUCCGACCCUUCGAACACCAGCUGUUGGAUCGAACACUCCGAUAUGCGUUACAGCAGAGGUCAAUAAGGCGACGGACCGAACCACGUCAAGGUGCAAGUGAUACGAAGAUAGGCUCGCACCGAGGUCGGUUGGGGCAAGGCCGCCCCUUGGGUAAUUCGAGCCAGAAAUGAUAGAAGAACCAUCUGUGACUGGGAUCCGGAAGACCUGCGCGAUGGGUAUUGAGCGCCCCCAAGGGCUUACUUGAGAUGAUUGACGGAAAACGUAUCCAGCCAUUACAUGCACACGACGUCUGCUUUUUUGGCGAACUUCGUUUGCGUCGU